rnacentral:rRNA from 1 species
GCGAGCGAACCGGGAAGAGUCCAGCGCCGAAUCCCCGCCGUCGAGAGCGCGGCGGGGAAAUGUGGCGUACGAGAGGCGGCGUGCCGUCGGCGACGUCCCCGGAGCAAGUCCCCUUGAUCGGGGCGAGCUUCUAGCGACCAGAGCGGGUGCGAGUCCCGUGGCCCGGGGUUUACUGACCGGCGGAGUGUCGUCUCUCGCGAGUCGGGUUGCUUGAGAGUGCAGCCCUAAGAAAGGUGGUAAACUCCAUCUAAGACUAAAUACGGCCUCGAGACCGAUAGCGAACAAGUACCGUGAGGGAAAGUUGCAAAGAACUUUGAAGAGAGAGUUCAAGAGUACGUGAAACUGCUCAGAGGAAAACGGGUGGGCGUUCGAAGCCCCCGUCGGCAGUCUUUUCCGGAUUCAGUUCUCCCGGUUGGUCGUCUCUGUCGGUUGUCCCCCGCGGAAAUAAUUCUGCUUUCCGCUUCACGGCGGUCUGUGGACGCGGGGGCACUGGCGGGCGGCUCGGUCAUACGGAGGACGCAUUUCCGGAGUUGCCGGUCAGCCACUGGGCGCCGCGAUCGAUCGGGCACCGAAGAGUGCCGACCACCGGCCGGGUCGUUGCGGAUCAGGGUUCCCGCUCGCUUCGCGUUCGCCUCGGCGUUCGCGUUUUGCGUCGGUGUUCCCCCGAACCUCGGCAUUCCAAACGGUGGCCGGUCGCCCGAUCGGGACUUGAAUCAGUUGCAGGCAGAGGUGCCCUCUCCUCGUUGCGUCGGCGUCUCCAUCGGUCGAUUCGCAUGCCGGUCACUCCUCACGGGGUUUCCGCGCGGCAGUCGGCUGCGAGCGCGCUUCGCAUGUUCGAGAGUUUUGAAAGAGGAGGGAGGAGGUGCUGCCGUCGCGGCGAGCGUCUCGGUGUCCCNNNNNNNNNNNNNNNNNNNNNNGACCAAGGAGUCUUACCCGUGCGCGAGUCGCAGGGUCUUGUUCAGGCCCCGUGGCGAAGCGAAAGCGAAGCCGAGACUUCCGAAACGUAAAAGUCGAGGAAAGCAUCGGCGGCCCGGCGGUGCGGUCGGUUUCGCUCGUCGGAUUGAAUCUUUCCGGCUUGCGUCCGGCUCGUCGGAGUCUGAGCGCACGAGUAAGUACCCGAAAGAUGGUGAACUAUGCCCGGCCAGGGCGAAGCCGGAGGAAACUCCGGUGGAGGCCCGAAGCGGUUCUGACGUGCAAAUCGAUCGUCGGAGCGAGGUAUAGGGGCGAAAGACUAAUCGAACCAUCUAGUAGCUGGUUCCCUCCGAAGUUUCCCUCAGGAUAGCUGGCAUUCGUUGAAACAGUCUCUUCUCGUAGAGAGAAUGAAUAGAGGCCCUGGGGCCCUAGACGACCUCAACCUAUUAUCAAACUACUACGAGGUGCGUCAGCCGUUUUCCUGCCGAGUUUCGAGGAACGGCUUAA